rnacentral:rRNA from 1 species
CCCAGACUCCUACGGGAGGCAGCAGUGGGGGAUAUUGCACAAUGGGGGAAACCCUGAUGCAGCGACGCCGCGUGAGUGAAGAAGUAUUUCGGUAUGUAAAGCUCUAUCAGCAGGGAAGAAAAAAGACGGUACCUGACUAAGAAGCCCCGGCUAACUACGUGCCAGCAGCCGCGGUAAUACGUAGGGGGCAAGCGUUAUCCGGAUUUACUGGGUGUAAAGGGAGCGUAGACGGCAAUACAAGUCGGAAGUGAAAUACCCGGGCUCAACCUGGGAACUGCUUUGGAAACUGUAUGGCUGGAGUGCUGGAGAGGUAAGCGGAAUUCCUAGUGUAGCGGUGAAAUGCGCAGAUAUUAGGAGGAACACCAGUGGCGAAGGCGGCUUACUGGACAGUAACUGACGUUGAGGCUCGAAAGCGUGGGGAGCAAACAGGAUUAGAUACCCUAGUAC